CCUACGGGUGGCAGCAGUGGGGAAUAUUGGACAAUGGGCGAAAGCCUGAUCCAGCCAUGCCGCGUGUGUGAAGAAGGCCUUCGGGUUGUAAAGCACUUUCAGUGGGGAAGAAAGCCUUGGGGCUAAUACCCUCGAGGAAGGACAUCACCCACAGAAGAAGCACCGGCUAACUCCGUGCCAGCAGCCGCGGUAAUACGGAGGGUGCGAGCGUUAAUCGGAAUUACUGGGCGUAAAGCGCGCGUAGGCGGUCUGAUAAGCCGGUUGUGAAAGCCCCGGGCUCAACCUGGGAACGGCAUCCGGAACUGUCAGGCUAGAGUGCAGGAGAGGAAGGUAGAAUUCCCGGUGUAGCGGUGAAAUGCGUAGAGAUCGGGAGGAAUACCAGUGGCGAAGGCGGCCUUCUGGACAGACACUGACGCUGAGGUGCGAAAGCGUGGGUAGCAAACAGGAUUAGAUACCCCAGUAGUC
rnacentral:rRNA from 1 species